AGAGAGAGAGAGGGGGAGAGAGAGAGAGAGAGAGAGAGAGAGAGAGAGAGAGAGAGCUGCUUCAGUAUGAUCCAGAGAGCAGGAAGAGAUAGGCGUAACUUACCACUGCAAGUUCAAAGUCUCACUUCAGCACAGUUGCAGGCAAAAACCUGGCAGUUAAGAAGUUGGAAACUGCUUCAGAAAAGAGACAAGGAUUUCUAUCCAGUGGCCAAUCAGUGAGCAGCACCUCUUGCAGCAAUGGUAGGUCUGUUGAAGCGAACAGCCUGCAUUUUGGGUGAGCUUUUAGCCAAAUAAACGAAUACAUGUGUUUGGAAGUCUUUUUUUU
rnacentral:lncRNA from 1 species